UACAGGGGGGCAAGCGUUGUUCGGAAUUACUGGGCGUAAAGGGCUCGUAGGCGGCCAACUAAGUCACACGUGAAAUCCCCAGGCUUAACCUGGGAACUGCGUGUGAUACUGGAUGGCUUGAAUUCGGGAGAGGGAUGCAGAAUUCCAGGUGUAGCGGUGAAAUGCGUAGAUAUCUGGAGGAAUACCGGUGGCGAAGGCGGCAUCCUGGACCGACAUUGACGCUGAGGAGCGAAAGCUAGGGGAGCAAACGGG
rnacentral:rRNA from 1 species